GAUUAGCCUGCGUCCGAUUAGCUAGUUGGUAGGGUAAAGGCCUACCAAGGCGACGAUCGGUAGCUGGUCUGAGAGGAUGACCAGCCACACUGGAACUGAGACACGGUCCAGACUCCUACGGGAGGCAGCAGUGGGGAAUAUUGGACAAUGGGGGCAACCCUGAUCCAGCAAUGCCGCGUGUGUGAAGAAGGCCUGAGGGUUGUAAAGCACUUUCAGUGGGGAGGAGGAUUUGUAGGUUAAGAGCUAGCAAAUUGGACGUUACCCACAGAAGAAGCACCGGCUAACUCCGUGCCAGCAGCCGCGGUAAUACGGAGGGUGCGAGCGUUAAUCGGAAUUACUGGGCGUAAAGGGUGCGUAGGUGGUUUGUUAAGUUAUCUGUAAAAUCCCUGGGCUCAACCUGGGCAGGUCAGAUAAUACUGAUAAACUCGAGUAUAGGAGAGGGUAGUGGAAUUUCCGGUGUAGCGGUGAAAUGCGUAGAGAUCGGAAGGAACACCAGUGGCGAAGGCGGCUACCUGGCCUAAUACUGACACUGAGGCACGAAAGCGUGGGGAGCAAACAGGAUUAGAUACCCUGGUAGUCCACGCUGUAAACGAUGUCAACUAGCUGUUGG
rnacentral:rRNA from 1 species